rnacentral:rRNA from 1 species
GACGAACGCUGGCGGCGUGCCUAAUACAUGCAAGUGGAACGCUGAAGAGAGGAGCUUGCUCUUCUUGGAUGAGUUGCGAACGGGUGAGUAACGCGUAGGUAACCUGCCUUGUAGCGGGGGAUAACUAUUGGAAACGAUAGCUAAUACCGCAUAACAAUGGAUGACACAUGUCAUUUAUUUGAAAGGGGCAAUUGCUCCACUACAAGAUGGACCUGCGUUGUAUUAGCUAGUAGGUGAGGUAAUGGCUCACCUAGGCGACGAUACAUAGCCGACCUGAGAGGGUGAUCGGCCACACUGGGACUGAGACACGGCCCAGACUCCUACGGGAGGCAGCAGUAGGGAAUCUUCGGCAAUGGGGGCAACCCUGACCGAGCAACGCCGCGUGAGUGAAGAAGGUUUUCGGAUCGUAAAGCUCUGUUGUAAGUCAAGAACGGGUGUGAGAGUGGAAAGUUCACACUGUGACGGUAGCUUACCAGAAAGGGACGGCUAACUACGU